CACGCGGCAGGGACUUGCGAGUCCAGCUCGUGUCUGUGCUCAGAGCGAAUCUGAGCGCGGCUCGCGGCUCUGAUCUUGCUGCUUGGUGCCAGGAACAAACGCUGACCUGAGCGACUCCUGUUUCUAAGAGAUCCCCGGGGGCCCAGUGCCAGGGCUCUCCCUGCUCGGAGACGCUUCGCUUUAAUCCGCUCUGUUCCACCCAGACAAGGGGAAGCAGUGUGCUCCGAGCUGACUCCGGGGGGCGGCAGGGAGCCACGCGCACUGUGCACAGGCACCUUGGCCAGGUCUGUGCGGCGUCGCCGUAGCCGGCGUGGGACUGGGGCCCUGUCUUUGCCCCCGGUGCAGGUGCCGUGUUCCUGAGGAUCCAGCAGGACAGUCCACAGCUCCCGCUCACCUGAACCAACCAUGUGUGCCGAGAGAGGGCCCCGGCAUGUCCCGGGCUCCCCAGGGCCCCCCACAGUGUACCCCCAAGUCACAGGCCGGGCAGUGUCCCUGAAAGCAGGGCCAUAAAGCGAGGAGGGGAAGCCGAGGGAGAAGUGCAGGAGGGGGAACCCACGCAGGGAGGGGGAGAUGGAGGAGGGUGGCCCCAGCCCUGGACUGCAGCCUCCGGCUCAUGCCCGGCCCCUCCCGUCCCUGCCUUCCCUGUCCCUUCUGCAGCACGGGCCGGCGCCUCCGGUCCGAUGGACACUGUUCUGCCCCGGCGUCCCUUGCGUGCCUGCCAGAUCUGUGACUGCGCCCUAGCGCCCACCUGCACCCUACAGAAGCCUGCUUAGCCACCUGCCCAGCCGCCCACCUGUGGAUCUGUCGUCAUCGCUCCUCUCUCUGUGUCCCACCUGCCUGCGUCCUGUUUCCACGUGGAGCCUCUGGCCACCCGGGAUCCUCGGACAACAAACAGGCAAGGGAAGGAGGAGGGGCGCCGGCAGGGGGCCCAGCCCACGGGGCCCAGCAGGGGCAAUCGGAUUUGCCGCCAGGGGCGCCGACAGCGACGCUGACCAAGUCCAUUUUCUGCAGAGGAGACAGCCUGGUCGUGUGGGUCAGGAUUAAGUGGCACCAGUGGAGCUGGUGAGUGUGGACCCCGCUCCCUGGCACUCCUCAGGGAGGGGGCGGGGAGGCAGCUGUAGGGCCCACAGGGGCUUCAGAUCCUGGGCCCAGCCCAGCGGCUGUGAGCCACAGGGGUCUCAGAGGCGCAGGGGCCUGUGUGUGGGCCAGGCCCACCUGCCCACAGGAGUGGGUGCAGGGAGCUGGG
rnacentral:lncRNA from 1 species